rnacentral:snoRNA from 1 species
GUUCAAGGAUGCUUCAAAAUAUUUGCUACUCUUGAAAAUCAGUGACGACAUUCAAAUCACCAAGAUCGCUGAGAAC